AACGAACGCUGGCGGCAGGCCUAACACAUGCAAGUCGAGCGGACCCUUCGGGGUUAGCGGCGGACGGGUGAGUAACGCGUGGGAAUAUGCCCUUCUCUACGGAAUAGUCCUGGGAAACUGGGGGUAAUACCGUAUACGCCCUUUGGGGGAAAGAUUUAUCGGGGAAGGAUUAGCCCGCGUUGGAUUAGGUAGUUGGUGGGGUAAUGGCCUACCAAGCCGACGAUCCAUAGCUGGUUUGAGAGGAUGAUCAGCCACACUGGGACUGGGACACGGCCCAGACUCCCACGGGAGGGAGGAAUGGGGAACUCUAGACCAUGGGGGGAACCCUUAUCUUGCCCUGCCGCGUGAGGUAUGAAGGCCCUAGGGUUGUAAAGCUCUUUCAGCUGGGAAGAUAAUGACGGUACCAGCAGAAGAAGCCCCGGCUAACUCCGUG
rnacentral:rRNA from 1 species